CUUCCUCUGAAAUUUUCGUCUUCACCUUCUUUUCUAUUCUUCUUCUGUUUAUACUUCUGUUUGUCAACAUGGUAUCAGAGCCUAUUUAGGAAACAGAGUGCUCUGUUCCGCCUCUUCAACCGCCGAUCGUCUACAACUCAAAUCUCUCCUCUCAAACAGAGUGGGAUCUGUUCCCCCUUCAAACCAUCGCCGCUGCUCUCUCUGUGGAUCCCUGCAAACCUUGAAAGCCAUUCUCCGUUUCCGUUAAAUCUCUCACUCUCUCUCUCUCGCAUCCCUUCAUCUUCAUCACCGCCUCUGCUAUGAUCGCCGCCUCCGCU
rnacentral:lncRNA from 1 species